rnacentral:piRNA from 1 species
AACAGGGCUACAUUCUGCAAACUGCUCA